rnacentral:rRNA from 1 species
UACGUAGGGUGCAAGCGUUGUCCGGAAUUACUGGGCGUAAAGAGCUCGUAGGUGGUUUGUCGCGUUGUUCGUGAAAACUCACAGCUCAACUGUGGGCGUGCGGGCGAUACGGGCAGACUUGAGUACUGCAGGGGAGACUGGAAUUCCUGGUGUAGCGGUGGAAUGCGCAGAUAUCAGGAGGAACACCGGUGGCGAAGGCGGGUCUCUGGGCAGUAACUGACGCUGGAGGAGCGAAAGCCGUGGGGAGCGAACGGG